GACGAACCGUGCGAACGUUAUUCGGAAUCACUGGGCUUAAAGGGCGCGUAGGCGGGUCCGUCAGUCAGGGGUGAAAUCCCACGGCCCAACCGUGGAAGUGCCUUUGAUACUGCGGGCCUCGAGGGGGAUAGGGGCGUGCGGAACUCAGGGUGGAGCGGUGAAAUGCGUAGAUAUCCUGAGGAACACCGGUGGCGAAAGCGGCGCGCUGGAUCCCUUCUGACGCUGAGGCGCGAAAGCUAGGGGAGCAAACGGG
rnacentral:rRNA from 1 species